CUCACCAGCACUUUAGUUUUUGAAGUUCUUUUUCUUUCCUCUAAGAAAUAAACUGAAGGUAGAAUGCAUAAUUUAAAUGACCUCAUGACUUGACGAGUGCAAAUAAUAUUUAUUUGUAAGCAAUGACAACGUCUUGAAUUAUUCUGUACGUUUCAACACUAUUAUUGAACACUAAAAAUGAGCUUCUGUUCGCAGGAACGCGAUUUAAUUCCCAGCAGGUGUCGCUAAACACCAACGAUUGUGAGAUACUGCAAGACUCUCUUCUGCGCGUUUUAACAGUAACGGAGCCACUGUAGAGGAAUGGGCCCGGUUCCUUGAGGAGCACAAUGCCACCAUUAUCCAGCAGAUAACCAUGCUGAUAGAGGUAAUGGUACUGCAGGACCUAACUGAGACACGGUGGACUCCUCUCCCGGAAGAUUGGUGGAAACCACAGGAGAUGCUCACCAAGCUCACCCUUCAUGAUACAGAGGCUUAAUUCUACUCAUUGAAGUGGAUGGCCCUUGUGAAGGACAGCAAAAGCCGGGAUCUGGUGGUUUCUCUCCCUGAAGGAGGCUCUCAUUCCUAAUGCACCAAUGGCCUGGUCAUGGAUAUGUCAAUACUAAUGGUCUCCCAUCUCCACAUCUUCUGGGUAAUGACUACCUUUGGGCUGCAGUGGUUCUGCUGGGCGUGGGGGGGGGCACAGUGACAGGAGGA